UACGUAGGUGGCAAGCGUUGUCCGGAUUUAUUGGGUUUAAAGGGUGCGUAGGCGGCCUUAUAAGUCAGUGCUGAAAUACUCUAGCUUAACUAGAGGGGUGGCAUUGAUACUGCAAGGCUUGAGUACAGUCGAGGUAGGCGGAAUUGACGGUGUAGCGGUGAAAUGCUUAGAUAUCGUCAAGAACACCGAUAGUGUAGACAGCUUACUAGGCUGUAACUGACGCUGAGGCACGAAAGUGUGGGGAUCAAACAGG
rnacentral:rRNA from 2 species